rnacentral:rRNA from 1 species
UGGGGAAUCUUGCGCAAUGGGCGAAAGCCUGACGCAGCGACGCCGCGUGGGGGAUGAAGCAUCUCGGUGUGUAAACCCCUUUCGACUGGGACGAAUGCCUCGCAAGAGGAGUGACGGUACCAGUAGAAGAAGCCCCGGCUAACUACGUGCCAGCAGCCGCGGUAAGACGUAGGGGGCCAGCGUUGUUCGGAAUUACUGGGUGUAAAGGGUUCGUAGGCGGUGUGGCAAGUCGGGAGUGAAAUUUCUGGGCUUAACCCAGAAGCUGCUUCCGAAACUGCUGUGCUUGAGUGUGGGAGAGGCGCGUGGAAUUGCAGGUGUAGCGGUGAAAUGCGUAGAUAUCUGCAGGAACACCCGUGGCGAAAGCGGCGCGCUGGACCACUACUGACGCUGAGGAACGAAAGCUAGGGGAGCAAACAGGAUUAGAUACCCUGGUAGUCCUAGCCCUAAACGAUCAGGACUUGGGGUGCCACCCGUUCGGGUGUCGUCCCGGAGCUAACGCGUUAAGUCCUGCACCUGGGGAGUACGGUCGCAAGACUG